rnacentral:rRNA from 1 species
CGCAUCUGUGCAUGCAGCAUAUCAAUAAGCGGAGGAAAAGAAACUAACAAGGAUUCCCCUAGUAACGGCGAGUGAAGCGGGAAGAGCUCAAAUUUGAAAUCUUAAAGGGUUUCCCUUUACGAAUUGUAGUUUAAAGAAGUGUUUUCUGUUGAGGUUUUGGUAAAAGUUCUUUGGAAUAGGACAUCAUAGAGGGUGAGAAUCCCGUAUUUGACCUUUACUUUCAACUUUGUGAUACACUUUCAAAGAGUCGGAUUGUUUGGGAAUGCAGUCCAAAAUGGGUGGUAAAUUUCAUCUAAAGCUAAAUAUUGGCGAGAGACCGAUAGCGAACAAGUACCGUGAGGGAAAGAUGAAAAGAACUUUGAAAAGAGAGUUAAACAGUACGUGAAAUUGUCAAAAGGGAAGCGUUUGACACCAGUGUUGUUUUUCUGAAAAUCAAUUAAAGAACUGUUUAUGCUAAGCUGUUUAGACUUUAUCAGCUAAUCUGUUUAGUUUUGAGCUUUUCUUUAAUGCACUUUUCAGUUAACAAGUCAACAUCAAUUUCUCUUGCUGUAAAAAAGCUUGAGGAAGGUGGCUUGAGAUUCGUCUUAAGUGUUUAUAGCCUCUUGCCUAUGCAGUCGGAGAGAUUGAGGUCUGCAGCGUAGAUCCUUCGGGGCUAAAUGCAUUUGUGCUAAGUUAUAGCAUUUUAUAGACAACUUGUUGACUAUGAUUUGUCUUGUAGCUUACUCGCUUAUGUUAUUUUACCUACGCUUAGGAUGUUGACAGCAGUAUAGACUGU